UGGAGGAAGAGGAUUUGGAAUCAUCUCUGAAGGAUUACCACAAGAAAUAGACCACGAAUACUGAAUCUGUAAAAUCUUGCAAAUUUCAUCAGAAGUCUUUUGUAAAUGCAUUAAGGGAGUAGAGAAUAACAUUAAAUCACCUGUGUGAUAUACUACUUCAACAUAACUUCCUUUUCAAGAUGUAGUAAUAAAUUGCUGUCUCCUGGCCUUUUCAAGACCACCUAAUCCCUGUCAGUCUCAUUCCUGUUUUAUUUGUAGGGUUUAUGGACUUGUGUUCUACACUUGCUUUAAUCUUCAGUUCUAGCAGCUGCCUUGGCUGUAUUGAACCCUGUGCCAUGGUUGUCCCUGACAUUGAACUGAUCUGUGAAAUUUUAUUGGUUGUUGAAGGGUUUAUUGAUGUGUGCUUGUUAGCCAGCAAGUUUAGCACCUUGUAUACUCUCUGCAGGGAACUGUUCUCUAAACAGGUGAGGGUCUCUUUUUUGCUACAUUUGCUAUGUUUUAAUUAACACAUAUUCACUUGGAAACAGUGCAGCUGGACAUUGUAUAAUAAUUGUUGUGGUUUUUUUAAUUACUAUUAUU